rnacentral:tRNA from 1 species
CGCGGGGUAGCUCAGCNGGGAGAGCACCUCCCUCAUAAGGAGGGGGUCGGCGGUNCGAUCCCGUCCCCCGCAACC